rnacentral:rRNA from 1 species
GUAACCUGCUUUUGAAACUGAAUUUCUUGAGGGUAUGAGAGGAAAGCGGAAUUCCCAGUGUAGCGGUGAAAUGCGUAGAUAUUGGGAGGAACACCAGUGGCGAAGGCGGCUUUCUGGCAUACAACUGACGCUGAGGCGCGAAAGCGUGGGGAGCAAACGGGAUUAGAUACCCCGGUAGUCCACGCCGUAAACGAUGGGUACUAGGUGUAGGAGGUAUCGACCCCUUCUGUGCCGUAGUUAACACAAUAAGUACCCCGCCUGGGGAGUACGGCCGCAAGGUUGAAACUCAAAGGAAUUGACGGGGGCCCGCACAAGCGGUGGAGUAUGUGGUUUAAUUCGACGCAACGCGAAGAACCUUACCAGGGCUUGACAUCCCCUGAAUGCCAUGGAAACAUAGAGUUCUGCCUUCGGGUAGACAGGGAGACAGGUGGUGCAUGGUUGUCGUCAGCUCGUGUCGUGAGAUGUUGGGUUAAGUCCCGCAACGAGUGCAACCCCUAUCUUUAGUUGCCAGCAAGUAAUGUUGGGCACUCUAGAGAGACUGCCGGUGACAAACCGGAGGAAGGUGGGGAUGACGUCAAAUCAUCAUGCCCCUUAUGUCCUGGGCUACACACGUACUACAAUGGCCGGUACAAAGGGCUGCGAAGGGGCGAUCCGGAGCAAAUCCCAGCAAAGCCGGUCUCAGUUCGGAUUGUAGUCUGCAACUCGACUACAUGAAGUCGGAAUCGCUAGUAAUCGCAGGUCAGCAUACUGCGGUGAAUACGUUCCCGGGCCUUGUACACACCGCCCGUCACACCACGAAAGUCUGCAACACCCGAAGCCGGUGAGCUAACCGAAAGGAGGCAGCCGUCGAAGGUGGGGCCGAUGAUUGGGGUGAAGUCGUAACAAGGUAGCCGAAGGG